rnacentral:rRNA from 1 species
UACAGAGGGGGCAAGCGUUAUUCGGAAUUAUUGGGCGUAAAGGGCGCGUAGGCGGCCUGGCAAGUGGAAGGUGAAAUCCCUCGGCUUAACCGAGGAACUGCCCUCCAAACUGCUUGGCUUGAGUCCGGGAGAGGUGAGUGGAAUUCCCAGUGUAGCGGUGAAAUGCGUAGAUAUCGGGAGGAACACCGGUGGCGAAGGCGGUUCUCUGGGCCUGACUGACGCGAGGUGCGAAAGCGUGGGGAGCAAACAGG